AAAUUGAAGAGUUUGAUCAUGGCUCAGAUUGAACGCUGGCGGCAGGCCUAACACAUGCAAGUCGGACGGUAGCACAGAGAGCUUGCUCUCGGGUGACGAGUGGCGGACGGGUGAGUAAUGUCUGGGGAUCUGCCCGAUAGAGGGGGAUAACCACUGGAAACGGUGGCUAAUACCGCAUAACGUCGCAAGACCAAAGAGGGGGACCUUCGGGCCUCUCACUAUCGGAUGAACCCAGAUGGGAUUAGCUAGUAGGCGGGGUAAUGGCCCACCUAGGCGACGAUCCCUAGCUGGUCUGAGAGGAUGACCAGCCACACUGGAACUGAGACACGGUCCAGACUCCUACGGGAGGCAGCAGUGGGGAAUAUUGCACAAUGGGCGCAAGCCUGAUGCAGCCAUGCCGCGUGUAUGAAGAAGGCCUUCGGGUUGUAAAGUACUUUCAGCGGGGAGGAAGGCGAUGGGGUUAAUAACCUUAUCGAUUGACGUUACCCGCAGAAGAAGCACCGGCUAACUCCGUGCCAGCAGCCGCGGUAAUACGGAGGGUGCAAGCGUUAAUCGGAAUUACUGGGCGUAAAGCGCACGCAGGCGGUCUGUUAAGUCAG
rnacentral:rRNA from 1 species